UAUAUACUCCCUCCGUCCGGAAUUAUUUGUCGCACAAAUGUAUAAAAAUGGAUAUAUCUAGAACUAAAAUACAUCCGGAUAGAUCCAUUCCUAUGACAAGUAUUCCUGAACGGAGGGGGUACAUG
rfam:Hordeum vulgare subsp. vulgare, WGS project CAJW01000000 data, contig: morex_contig_37524